UCGAAUAAAAUAUCCAGUCGUUAAAAUUAAUUAACCCAAAAAAAGGCGCUAGAUUUUCCCACAAUUUUCCCCAACCCACGUACAGAAUGCCAUAAUCCCCAACCCACCAUCUUGUGCCCCCCCCCCCCCCCCCCCCCGGCACCCUAACCCAGAAGCCUAAACAAAAGAAAAAGAAAAACUCUUUCAGAACAGAUCGUCAAGAACACGAGAAUAGUUGCAAUCGGUGAAAUUGGAGAAUCGAAUAUUUACAGAAUUCUAGUUUGGAAGCUCUCUUUAGGUUUCCAUCUCUUCUCUCAUCAAGGUAUCAUAGUAUUUUUGUUGCGAAGAGCAAAAUUGAGUUACAAGCUUACAAAUUAGAGGUAAUUUUUUAACUUUCUCAGUUGUGUAGUUCACCAAAUUGGGCAUCUCUUACAAUUCAUGUCAUCCUCCGUUUUAACAACCCUACAUUUCACGAUUUUUUUUUUUUAAAAAAAGAAGAAAUUAGUGAUAAUAAGAAAAAUUAGGAUUAAAUUGUGGCAUUGAUUUCAGAUCCUUUGUCUAUAGCAACUAUGAUGUGGCAUUAGAAGGUGUUUUGUUUCUGCUAAUAUGGUAGUUGUGGUAAUUGUAUCAUUGAAGAAUUGCUUGUGAUUGAGUUGUGCUACUAUUUUGGUUGGCUGUUAGCGUUGGUUUUUGGCUAUUUUCCAUUGUCAUAGUCUGCUUAUUUACACUGGAUAUGUUGUUAUUGUUGUUCUAUAAUCUACUUAUUUAUGAUCGACCAGUUUGAAACCUGGAGAAAAAAUAAUUUAAUAGCGAAUGCCUUUGCAACUACCUUGAACCGAACUUUAAACAAUAAGGAUCCUAGUGUAAAGCUUGAAUUGUUAAAUGUAAUAACCUAUGGAACUUGUGAAGGGUGGAUAGAAUAUUAGUAGUUGUAGAAGCAUGUCAAACAUUUUGAGUUCAUAAUUGAAUGUGGACCUAAAUUACGUAAUUUAGUCCUUCCCUGCCAGUUGAGUUCUUUUUGCUUUCGGUUGCUUUCUAAUGACGAGACCAAGUUGCUUUUCAAUUCAGGAAACCAUUUGCAAUGCAGUGUUAACAUGAGGUGUUUUUUAUUCUGUCUUUCUCCAACUCAUGUGUAUUUGAGUGUUGUUUCAAAACGGAGAAGUUCUAGCUUGAGAGGAUAUAUCAUAAGAAGAUGAACCAUUGACAAUUUGCCGUAAAUUUUCUUACUAAAUUCUUUGUUGCUCACAUGUCUGCCUUUAGUUAAAAGUUUUUAGCAGCUGAUUAAAGUCAUUCAAGUCUUUGGUCAUUCCGUAUACUUUUAUUUCAUCUACUAGUUGUAGUUAUUCUGUAAUAUGCUCCCUACAUGUCUGUCACAAUCUCGAAUUAUUUGGAGAAAACAUGCAGUUGGAGAAGUUUUGUUCUCUCGCAGAUAUUUCUUGGUAUCAUGAACGAAUUAUCAGAUUGAACCAAAAAAAAUAAGAGGACAUGGAGUAUUCUGUACGUUGCCUAGACAGAGGAGGCAAUAGUUGAAGUUUCUAUACUGCUUCAUCCUUGAUUUUUCUAUUCAUUUUUUAAAUAGAAACUUCCACAUAAAGUAUUUUACAGUUAAUAUUUUUGCCUUUGUAACAGUUAUUCUAUUAUUCUAUGGUAGGCAGGGGCGGAGCCACCUUAGGGGAAACAGUGUCACGGGGCACCGCUUCGUCGAAAUUUUUCACUGUGCAUAUAUGAAAUUCAUAUUUUCCUGGACGGCUAAGUGAACCAACAGAUGAAUCUCCAUUUUCAUAUCCUUCUCGGAACAUCCAGCAAUUGCUAGCUCACUGGUCGGGCACUUCGAUUUUCUAGUUAAGGUCGUAGUGUGUUGUCAUGAUUAGGAAUAGUCGAAGUGCUAUUUGGCAUCCCUUUUCCUAUUGAAAACGUACUGAAUUAUUUUCUGGUGUGGCUUAAUAAUGCUAUGUGUUUUGGUUAGAUUAGAUUGACUUGAAUCCGUCAAAAUCUCAAAAGUAUGAAAUGGAAUCAACUUUGAAGGCUGCGAAACAUUCAUUCAUUCCACCUGGUGCCUUAGCAAGAGGACAAGGGAAAAGCUUUAGAGCUUUGAGUUUAGUAAGAGUAAAUACUGAACAAAGACCUCCGAUUGGCAAAAGUAAAAAGUGUAAUACAACAACUUCUUAUCUGAAUGAGCUAGCUCUGAAUGAGAGUCUUGCACGCUCCUGGUUUUGAUCCAUAGAAAGACUAUGUUUCCCUCUCUCAAGAAGCUGAACUGAUGCAAACACUCAGAGAAACGAAAUAAGUCCAUGUAAACCUUAAAAGGCAAAAAAUGUGAGAGUGUCGAUCAGGUGCAUAACUCAAAGCUGGAGUAAUGUUGAGCAUCACUUUUUACCACAAUCAAAUUGUUGGGAAGCAUCAUGCCUCAGCGAGACACUUAGCUAUAUUAGUUAAUGAUCGUAAUAUGUGUCCAUUGCGCGUACAUUAAUGGGCGGACAUCGAGGAUUAUAAGCUGGAUCACAUGUGGGCAGCUGUGACUAUAAGGAUUUAAAACAUGAGUUUUUUGUUUUGCCUUCUCCUUUUAUUCUUUUACAAAUGAAAACGAAAUACUUGUGAGCUUAUAUCAUUGUAUUUGUUGAGUUAUUUUCUAUUUGAUUUGUCAGAAUCUGUAAAGAAAAUAGUUGAUAUGCUAUAUUGGACUUGUGAAACUCAGUGUUAUUAAAAGUGCUCGCUUCAUCGCCUAAAUCAUUGAGGUAAGGAGACUGGCUUGUGCUUCAGAAGGCUGAGGCGACGCUGGUAGAAAGAAGGGACUCUUCUCCUCAAGAAGAUCGAAGUGGAGGAGAAGCGAGAAGCAUGCGCUUCGUUUAUUUUAAUAAAAGAUGACUUUAAACAGAAAAGGAUUCAACUUUCUUACUAGUUUUGCUGCUCUCUUCCUUGGUCUAGUUCUAUACUUCAAGCUACAGGUAUGAUUAUUUCUUCUUCUUCCCCUCCUCCUCUUCUCUUCUUCGUCUCGUAUCUGAUAUCGUCGUUGCUGCUAUUUUUUUUUCUUUCUAUUCUUUUCUUUUAUCUUAUGUCGCUGCUACUGUAGCGUUUUUUCUCCUCUUCUUCUUUUCUCUUUUCUGAUAUCACUGCUGCUGCUGCUUUUUUUUUCUUUCUCUUCUAUUCUAUGACCUAAUAUCGCUGCUACUGCAAUAUGAGCAUCAUGGUGACAGAUGCAAGGUUCAAUAUUUUUGCCUAUAUAUAUUAGAAUACUUGUCCAUGAUGCAACUUCUAUGUUGACAUUUAAUUCUUUUUAUUUUGAGAAUUUGCAGCCUGUUAGUUGGAUAGUAGUGCAUCGACUAUACUGGCUAUCAAAGAUGUGGAGAUAGCUUGUUCUCUGCAUUGAAUUUGAGUUCCAUUAUAUUCUCAUGAAGUAAGCUUAUCUCUUAUCCCUAUUUGUACGGUGUAUUUUGGCAUAAGCAAGACUUGAGGAUUAUGUUACCAAUACAUAAUAAUGGAGGUGAAUCAUGAUCGUAGAAAAUUCUUAUGCUAUUGGUACUCCGUCUGCAUUACUGCAUUUUGGAUCAUAGUACAUAGUUGGUACUAAUUCCUAUUAUUGUGGUCUUCUCUUUUUUUCUUUCAUAAGUUUAGUCUUUGCUAAUAAACUGACAUAAAUUUGAAACUUUUAAUAGGUCAAGAAUUUGAAGACUGAGAUAAGUUUGGUGGUGACAUGUUUUUUUAUGGUUAUUCUAUAAUUAGUUACUUCUUAGUGUUUCUCUUUUCUACUUUAAGUGGCUCUUGUUAUUAAAUCUCAUCCAUAGAGAUUAGAAUAGUCUACACUUUACAUAAAGUGCGUUGUUUCAUCUUAUUUGCUGUGUCAUCUGCUUGAGCAUGCCUCUACUUUUAUUAUUUCAAAUUUAUUUUCUGGAUACAAAAGUAAUUCAUCCUUUUUCAUGUAUAUAACACAUCCAUUUGUAAUUUUUUCAGAUUUGGAAAACUGAAAAAUGAUGUUCGAUAUCAUUCAAUUUAUAUCAGGUUCUCUAAUAACAUGCCUUCUAUACCAAAGCUGAUUCCUUAAACAUAUUAGUAGAAGUAACUCGUUUUCUAAUAACAGGAGUAUCUGGUUUCCAAUAUUCUGUGUAAAGAGUUUCUCCAGUAGUUUUUUGGUAGUAUUGAAAACAACUGAUAGAAUAUGUUUCAUUAUUUCAUAUUCUUACCGAUUCCUUUUGAUCCUAGGCUUCAGAAUCUGUGAUGCGAAACCAAGACCUUUUAAUUGUUUUAAGUUGAUGUACUUAUUAAAGUUUUGUGAUUUGUUGCUAUGUGAAGAUAAUGAGUAUGGAUAAGGUAGAAGAGUCAUGAUUAUUCUAUUCAUUAAAUAAAAUACAGAGGUCAUGAUAUUUUUAUUACUAAACCUAUAUGAAAAGUGGUUUAGGUCCUGUUUAGGAGAUUUUCUCAUUAGUUGCUCUAAUUUGAUGGAAUAAAGUUAUGUAUGAGGUUGCAUACUUGGAACUAAAAGCUGAACAUCAAUCAAUCAGGCGAAUCUUGAAUUAGAAUUUUGAUACUCUAGAGCUUGAGUUUUACGAGAUAGAGAAUCCUUUUCUCUUGGCUUGCACAUUCUCUUGCCUAUCUAUUAGGAGUUUUGUUACUAUAUUGAGAUGACCUUUCUUCUUUUAACAGAUCAAGAUUUACAAUAUACAAGCUGGAUUCUAAAGAACUGGCCUGCUACCCUUGAAGUAAGUGCAGAACAAUUGAAGCAAUCUACUUUGGUUUUGUUACAAUCUGUUUAGAAAUGUCACAUUUGUAAAAGCUAUAAUUUUAUUCUCUUUUGUUUGGAGUUGACAAAUAUAAUGUCAUGUAAUCUGAAUGUGUAUAUUUUUAUAUUUUUUCAGUAAUGUGAUGAUUUAUUUAUUU